rnacentral:lncRNA from 1 species
CACUGGUCCUCCACUCAGGGCCUGGGAGCCCAAAUCAGUGUCACACGGGCUUCCCGGUGUCUGAAGGUCAUGAGGGACAACGUGCACUGAGCGGCUCCAGCAGGUGGCAGUGGGUUCCCAGAGGCCGAGGCACCAAAGUCCUGCUCCUCCCACUGGUGGGCAGCCAGGCCUGCCAGCCCCCCCAGCCUCCAGGUGCCGUCCUCAGCAAGCAGCACCCGGAGUCUCCAGGAGGCUGAGCACCUGCAUGCAGCUAGAGGAGUGCCUCCCACAGUGGCCAGGAUGCUCGGACCUGGGGCCCAUGUGACACAGAAGCCCAGAGACCUCAGGCACCCCCUUGACACCUCUUUGUGGCGAGAACACAUAGGAGCAAACGGAGCCCUGCCCGGACUGUACUACAGCCACUCGUGGACCUCGCGGGGCCACCUGGUGGUCUUUUCCCUGGUCCCAGAUGUAAUUAUGUGGUAAUUAGCCUAUCCCGGCACCGAUUCCUCUUUGGCAGGUUAAGUGAAAACCACUAAGAUGUCCCCGUGCUAACCAAGAGGGAGGAUGAGAGCGAUUCUGCACCUGGGGGAGCAUCCAGAAAUUGGUGCCACCCUAAGAGACCUAAAGGAAGCAGGACGGUGGAUUUCUCCAUUUAAUUCUAUCUGCCACCCCUGGCACAGAUCAGAGACAGCCUGAGGAUGUGUGUGGGCCACGCCAUCCCACAUGUGAUAUGCUGGACAUAGGAUAUUUGGUGUGUUCUUUUCCAUCUCUACCAGAAAGAGGGUCGGAGGCAGCUUGCCCUCCCUGGGAACAGACAUGAGCACAUGUUUACAUUCUUCCGCCAGGGCUGUGGUUUCCACCUCUGCACUGAGGUAGCCCACACUGACCUGGGUCAGCUGGGCAUCAACUGGGUACACUAGAUUGAUGGCAUCAAGCCGUUUGCACCUAAUGGGUGGGAGGUGGCUAGUGCACAGGGUCCCCAGCCUCAGAGGGUGUGAGCUAAGGCUGACUGAAAUUCUGGUGUCCACUGCAUGGGUAGAGUGACUAGGGGGCUAGAUACAGGGAGCGGGGGCAUCCAUUCAGAGUAACAGACAGCUUGUCCUGUCUUGCAGUUCUCACUGCUGAGAAGGAACAAUAAUCCUUACAUCUCUUGGGUUCUGGAGGCAGGAUCUUCCCUGUUGAGGAAUAUUGCUUCAACGUAUAACCUGGAGGUUGAGAAAGGUGGCCAGUUUAUGUGGGGAAAGAGCCUUGUCCUCUGGGCCAUGUGACCUAGGAGACAUUAUGCAUUAGAGUCUCUGUUGUAGAAAAAAGAUGCCACACAGAGCUCACAGCGAACAUGGAGGGGACAGUCUCUUCACCAGGGUUGAGAGAGGGCCAUGCCAUCGCAGUGGAGAAUGAUGCACCUGCAGAGAAGCAGCCCUUGGCUCUUACUGGCUCUGCUAAUGUGGAGCAUCGAACCACAGCUACCAGCAGGCCAUGUGAC